GACGAACGCUGGCGGCGUGCUUAACACAUGCAAGUCGAGCGGUAAGGCCCUUUCGGGGGUACACGAGCGGCGAACGGGUGAGUAAUACGUGGGUGACCUGCCCUCAGCUCUGGGAUAAGCCCGGGAAACUGGGUCUAAUACCGGAUAGGACACAUCGACGCAGGUUGGUGUGUGGAAAGAUUCGGUUGGGCUGGGGAUGGGCCCGCGGCCUAUCAGCUUGUUGGGGGGGUGAUGGCCUACCAAGGCGGUGACGGGCAGCCGGCCUGAGAGGGGGACCGGCCACACUGGGACUGAGACACGGCCCAGACUCCUACGGGAGGCAGCAGUGGGGAAUAUUGCGCAAUGGGCGAAAGCCUGAUCCAGCAACGCCGCGUGAGGGAUGACGGCCUUCGGGUUGUAAACCUCUUUCAGCAGGGACGAAGCGCAAGUGACGGUACCUGCAGAAGAAGCACCGGCCAACUACGUGCCAGCAGCCGCGGUAAGAC
rnacentral:rRNA from 1 species